rnacentral:rRNA from 1 species
UUCUGGGAGGAUUGACAGAUUGAGAGCUCUUCCUUGAAUCGGGGGAUGGUGGUGGAUGUCCGUUCUUAGCUGGUGGAGUGAUUUCUCCGGUUAAUUCCCAUAGCGAGCGAUACUCUAGCUAUUAAAUGGGUGCGUGGUUCUCUGCACCUUGCACCCCUUAGAGGGACAAGCGGCUCCUAUCCGCACGAAACAGAGCAAUAACGGGUCUGUGGUGCCCUUAGAU